AAAGACGGUCUUGCUGUCACUUAUAGAUGGAUCCGCGCUGCAUUAGCUAGUUGGUAAGGUAACGGCUUACCAAGGCAACGAUGCAUAGCCGACCUGAGAGGGUGAUCGGCCACACUGGAACUGAGACACGGUCCAGACUCCUACGGGAGGCAGCAGUAGGGAAUCUUCCGCAAUGGGCGAAAGCCUGACGGAGCAACGCCGCGUGAGUGAUGAAGGUCUUCGGAUCGUAAAACUCUGUUAUUAGGGAAGAACAUAUGUGUAAGUAACUGUGCACAUCUUGACGGUACCUAAUCAGAAAGCCACGGCUAACUACGUGCCAGCAGCCGCGGUAAUACGUAGGUGGCAAGCGUUAUCCGGAAUUAUUGGGCGUAAAGCGCGCGUAGGCGGUUUUUUAAGUCUGAUGUGAAAGC
rnacentral:rRNA from 1 species